rnacentral:rRNA from 1 species
CCCAGUGUAGCGGUGAAAUGCGUAGAUAUUGGGAAGAACAUCGGUGGCGAAGGCGUGCUACUGGACCGUAACUGACACUCAGGGACGAAAGCUAGGGGAGCGAAAGGGAUUAGAUACCCCUGUAGUCCUAGCUGUAAACGAUGGAAACUAGGUGUGGCUUGUAUCGACCCGAGCCGUGCCGUAGCUAACGCGUUAAGUUUCCCGCCUGGGGAGUACGCACGCAAGUGUGAAACUCAAAGGAAUUGACGGGGGCCCGCACAAGCGGUGGAGUAUGUGGUUUAAUUCGAUGCAACGCGAAGAACCUUACCAGGGCUUGACAUGUCGCGAAUCUCGGUGAAAGCUGAGAGUGCCUUCGGGAGCGCGAACACAGGUGGUGCAUGGCUGUCGUCAGCUCGUGUCGUGAGAUGUUGGGUUAAGUCCCGCAACGAGCGCAACCCUUAUUUUUAGUUGCCAGCAUUAAGAUGGGCACUCUAGAAAGACUGCCGGUGACAAACCGGAGGAAGGUGAGGACGACGUCAAGUCAGCAUGCCCCUUACGCCCUGGGCUACACACGUACUACAAUGGUUGGGACAAAGGGCAGCGACUCCGCAAGGAAUAGCGAAUCUCAUCAAACCCAGCCUCAGUUCAGAUUGCAGGCUGCAACUCGCCUGCAUGAAGGAGGAAUCGCUAGUAAUCGCAGGUCAGCAUACUGCGGUGAAUUCGUUCCCGGGCCUUGUACACACCGCCCGUCACACCAUGGAAGCUGGUCACGCCCGAAGUAGUUACCCUAACCUUUCGAGGAGGGGGAUUCCUAAGGCAGGGCUAGUGACUGGGGUGAAGUCGUAACAAGGUAACC